GGAAGAGGACGGACCUAAGAUGGCGGCCUCUGGGGGCGCUGGGAAUAGCUGCUCAUGUCGGCCAACGGAGCGGUGUGGGGCCGCGUGCGAAGCCGCCUCCGCGCCUUCCCCGAGCGGCUGGCCGUCUGCGGGGCCGAGGCCGCGGCGUACGGCAGGUGCGUGCAGGCCUCCACGGCCCCGGGCGGCCGCCUGAGUAAGGACUUCUGCGCGCGGGAGUUCGAGGCCCUGCGGAGCUGCUUCGCCGCCGCGGUAGGUGGGCGCGGGCCCCUCCCAGCCCUUCCCCUCCAAGAGCCAGCGGGCCCCGGCUUUCCUUUGCUUUCCCGUUGGUUCAAGGUUUAAUCGCCUGCCGCGUGCUUUAGACGCCGGCUGACAAAACCACCGAGCCACCGACGAGCCCGCGAAACCUCGGCCGUCCUGGGCUUGUCCCUGCAUGUUUGUAAAGCGGGACUGGCGCCAACCUCAGAAAGGAUGGGAGAUGUGUGCAAAAAAGCGCCCUGUAAAACCCGCCAAGAAGACGCUGGAGGGAGGCUGUUAGGAGGGAUGCUGAGCUUCACACCUGUCUGCUGCCGUGGGUGCAGAGCCCUAGUCCUGAUGGCCCCUGGUGGCACACAUUGAAUGCCUAGGGCAGAAAGGAAGUGGGAAUGGCGAAGAUGUGACGUUCCUCGGUGUUAGAUCCUGUUUCUUCUUAAGUUGAGGUGUGGAUAGAGCAGGAAUUGGUUUUCCAACAUUG
rnacentral:sRNA from 1 species